UGGGCAUGUGACGGCCGCCAUUUUGAAGUCAUGCCCGGAAAUGCGUCAUUUUACGAAUGGAAACGUAAACCAUUUUUGACGAUGAUGUGCGUGGUUUUGAUUGGAAAUUUGCCAUUUCAGUGGGUGUUUUAUGCGAUGGGCGUUAGUUUUGACCGGAAACACGGCCCUGUAGGAGGGGUUUCAUCAUAUAUAUAUAGAGGUGUUAUUUGGCGCCUCGAUCGAACUUUCCUUUUGGACUGGUUCACGCUCCAGGAUUCUUAGUGAAACAGCAGAGGCCUAUCCCAGUGUGGUCCCAGUGAUGUCUUCUUCUUCUUCUAUUCAAAGGUAUGAGAGGCCCCGCCACAAACCAGUGAGACAUUGGUGCUUCUGUUCAGAUUCACCAAUAACAGCUUAAUGCAUGAACUGGGGGGCUAUCUUCUUCUUAGUCAACAGAACACAUUUUGUAACCUAACAGAGGAAAAACCCUCAGGAAAACAUACAGUUUUAACGAGGAACACAUAUGUCGACUAAGUGCAGCAUCAUGUGACACAGCACACCAGCCGGGGCCAACCCCCAAACGUCUUCUUCUGCUUCUCUUCAAUGGUAUGAGAGGCCCCUCCACAAAACAGUGAGACACUGGCGCUUCUGUUCAGAUUCACCAAUAACAGCUUAAUGCAUGAACUAGGGGGCUAUCUUCUUCUUAGCCAACAGGACACACAUUGUAACCUAACAGAGGAAAAACCCUCAGGAAAACAUACAGUUUUAACGAGGAACAAGCGUGUCGACUUAGGGUUGCAUAAUGUGACUCAGCACCCAAAUGGUAUAAAUUUAAAAAAAUAAAAAUAAAAUAAAAAGCUUUAAAGAUUGUACUAUGGCGAGUGAUUCAUAUUUGUUUUUAUAUAUAUUUGUAUAUAUUUUUUAAUAGGUAUUUACACCUUUUAGAAAUAGAUGACAGCUCGCAUCCUAUACACGGGAGUCUUGAAAAACUGAAAAAAGGAGAUUGCUGCACUCAAUUGUCUACCAACAACGACUACGUGCCCCAACCAGAGAGCGGGCAAAGAGUCGACAUCUUGGGAAAAGUCGGCUGACCGUCGCUGUCAAACAGGGGUUGCAGUAGGGAGCAGCUUGACCUGUCAACACCAACAAAGGACACAUGGUACUAUCCAGAAUGUUUGACUGACGAGGAAAUGCUGCAGGCGGUCUGUGACUAUGAAGAAGAGAGUACUACAAUAGGAGCAACAUCGGCAGAGUGUGUAACCCCAUUUCAACAAAACAGAGCAGGUAUACCCACAGAACCCACGGUGGUGAUUGUGCACCCGAGGGACACCGCUAACACCUUAUAUGUAGAGUUGAUAAAUGAAAUCAGUGAACUGCGUCGUUUCAACACUGCAUUAAAAGAGAUAGUAACCGAUCUAUGUAAGAAACAAGAGGAGGCUAGACAAACACAGGACGCCAACGGCUGUUCCAUAAAACAAUACCUGAUAGCUCAGAAUGCAUCCAGUGAAGCUAUCAUAGCUCUACUUACAAAUACAUUUUAUCCAAGGUAAUCUACUAGGCAUGGUGUCUAUAAGGGGUGGUGUCUAAAUAAACAAUACAGACGUGUAGUAUGCCUCCCCCCAGAAAAGUUUUGAAGAGGGGCACGGGUGAUAUACAACGAUCAGGGGAUAACCAUAAUAAUAAUAAUAAUAAUGAUGAUGGGUAUAGGGUCCUGUUACAGAAUACAGAACAGCUUAAAAGCCUACAAGCACUGGUGGAGAGAUCGCGCGUUGAUGCUGCUGCUGCUGCUGCAUACCCUGCAGAAGCUUUUCAUGAUGUUGACAGAAUUCAUUAUACAGAACAACAUUCAUCGUAUCUAGAUAGCGGGUAUGCAGACUCUGUCAGUGUCCUAGACCCUGGGUUUAAUACCACAGGCGCAAAUAGCCACGUGUUGGAUCAUGCAGACGGCCCACUUGUGUACACAGACAAUGAUGCAGGGGCUGGGGGGUGUGUGUUGGCAGAAAUAUGUGACGACCGGCUGAAUCAGAGGGGGGCAAAUGGAGAUGUGGAGCAUGAACAGGGUGUUGGGGGGCCUGCUGAGGGUCAAGAGGGAGGGUCAUGGGAGCAGGCCCGAACAGAAGGGGGGCAUGAUGAUACACUAAC